AUUGAACGCUGGCGGAAUGCUUUACACAUGCAAGUCGAACGGCAGCACGGACUUCGGUCUGGUGGCGAGUGGCGAACGGGUGAGUAAUGUAUCGGAACGUGCCCAGUCGUGGGGGAUAACGUAGUGAAAAUUACGCUAAUACCGCAUACGAUCUAUGGAUGAAAGCGGGGGAUCGCAAGACCUCGCGCGAUUGGAGCGGCCGAUAUCAGAUUAGGUAGUUGGUGGGGUAAAGGCCCACCAAGCCAACGAUCUGUAGCUGGUCUGAGAGGACGACCAGCCACACUGGAACUGAGAACCGGUACAGACUCCUACGGGAGGAAGCAGUGGGGAAUUUUGGAAAAUGGGCGAAAGCCUGAUCCAGCCAUUCCGCGUGCAGGAUGAAGGCCCUCGGGUUGUAAACUGCUUUUGUACAGAACGAAAAGGUUUCUACUAAUACUAGGAGCUCAUGACGGUACUGUAAGAAUAAGCACCGGCUAACUACGUGCCAGCAGCCGCCGUAA
rnacentral:rRNA from 1 species